UGAACGCUGGCGGCGUGCCUAACACAUGCAAGUCGAACGGACUUAUAACGAAACCUAGUGAAUUAUGAGUUAGUGGCGGACGGGUGAGUAACGCGUGGGUAACCUGCCCCAUACAGGGGGAUAACAGCCGGAAACGGCUGCUAAUACCGCAUGCACAUGCGGGGGCGCAUGCCCCUGGAUGGAAAGCUUUCGCGGUAUGGGAUGGGCCCGCGUCUGAUAAGGCAGUUGGCGGGGUAACGGCCCACCAAACCGACGAUCAGUAGCCGGCCUGAGAGGGCAACCGGCCACAUUGGGACUGAGACACGGCCCAAACUCCUACGGGAGGCAGCAGUGGGGAAUAUUGCACAAUGGGGGGAACCCUGAUGCAGCGACGCCGCGUGGGUGAAGGAGUAUUUCGGUAUGUAAAGCCCUAUCAGCAGGGAAGAACAAUGACGGUACCUGACUAAGAAGCACCGGCUAAAUACGUGCCAGCAGCCGCGGUAAUACGUAUGGUGCAAGCGUUAUCCGGAUUUACUGGGUGUAAAGGGAGCGCAGGCGGCGCGUUAAGCCUGGUGUGAAAGCCCGCGGCCCAACCGCGGGACUGCAUUGGGAACUGGCGCGCUGGAGUGCCGGAGGGGUAGGCGGAAUUCCUAGUGUAGCGGUGAAAUGCGUAGAUAUUAGGAGGAACACCAGUGGCGAAGGCGGCCUACUGGACGGUGACUGACGCUGAGGCUCGAAAGCGUGGGGAGCAAACAGGAUUAGAUACCCUGGUAGUCCACGCCGUAAACGGUGAAUACUAGGUGUUGGGGCCCCAUCGGGGCCCGGGGCCGCAGCAAACGCAAUAAGUAUUCCACCUGGGGAGUACGUUCGCAGGGAAUGAAACUCAAAAGGAAUAGACGGGGACCCGCACAAGCGGUGGGAGCAUGUGGUUUAUUUUGAAGCAACGCGAAGAACCUUACCAGGCCUUGACAUCUGCCUGACAGGGUAUGUAAUGUACAUUCCCUCCGGGGCAGGCAAGACAAGGUGGUGCAUGGUUGUCGUCAGCUCGUGUCGUGAGAUGUUGGGUUAAGUCCCGCAACGAGCGCAACCCCUGCCCACAGUAGCCAGCGCGUAGAGGCGGGCACUCUGUGGGGACUGCCAGGGACAACCUGGAGGAAGGUGGGGAUGACGUCAAAUCAUCAUGCCCCUUAUGGCCUGGGCUACACACGUGCUACAAUGGCGUAACAGAGGGAGGCGAAGCCGCGAGGCGGAGCAAAACCCAAAAAUAACGUCCCAGUUCGGACUGCAGCCUGCAACCCGGCUGCACGAAGCUGGAAUCGCUAGUAAUCGCGGAUCAGAAUGCCGCGGUGAAUACGU
rnacentral:rRNA from 1 species